rnacentral:misc_RNA from 1 species
GGUUCAAUUUUUGACAAAAUGGUACUCUAAGCUUUACUUUGUUAGUACUUUAAUGACAAAUGUUCUAAUGCCAUUAGUUAUGUUGAUGUUGCAAUACAAUUCUUUUUUUUUUUUAAAUAUCUUGGGUCCCGCAAAUAAUUUAAAAAUAAAAAAUUGAAUUAAUAAUUUUAAUAAAAAUAAUAAAAAAAUAUUUUAUUGAGUGUACAUUACUAUGUCAGCAUAAUUAACGGUGUUAGAGCAUUUGUCCUUCAAGUGCUAACAGAUUAAACUUAGGGUACCAUUUUAUCGAAAAUUGAACCACAAGUCCAUAAGUGUCAAGGAAUGAGGUAAUUUUUUGCACUUUUCCCUUGAAAAUUUCUAAGUCUUGAAUAUUGUGGUAAGAUAUAACUUUAAAUUUAAAUAACAUCUCUGUUGUUCCCAUAUAUGCUUAUUAAAAUUUUUUUCUGCAGUUUCUACUGUAACAUGUUUGUUUUAGGGGGCUCAAAUGUGCCAGAUAGAUCAGGAAAAAUCUGCAAAAGAGUCCAGCUUCUGGCUAGUGGCUACCAGUCCUGGUUUCCUCAAGCCAAAGCGUGGGGCUCACAUGUAAGUGAGGUUAAGGUUGAUCUCACAUGGACUCAAGUUGAAAGCCAGUGGCAGUAACCCAAGCUUGUAUGUGCAUGUGUUUAUAUUGAGAUAAUAAAAAAAAAAUUGAUAUAUUACAAGCUUUAGCCCUAUUUUAAAUUGUAAUCAAUCUCAAAUUACUGAAAUCUAGAGGAGAUGGGCCAAAGUUCAGGAUUUAGCUUCAUAAAAACCAAGAUUUCCAUUGCAUUAAUAACAAAAUUACCCCUCCCACCCGUGGUUUUAAAUAUCAGCUGUUUAAAUAGAGUAAAAAAAAAAUAAAAUAUUUAUAAUACAAGCUUUAGCCCUACUUGAAAUUGUAAUAAAUCUCAAAUUACUGAAAUCUGAAGGAGAUGGGCCAAAGUUCAGGCUUUAGCUUCAUGAAAAACAAGAUUUACAUUGCAUUGUUAACCAAAAUUAACCCCUCCCACCCAUGGUUUUAAAUAUCAGCUGUUUCAAACUGAUUCAGCCGAGUCUGUUACACUGUUUCCAAUUCCAUUAUUAAAACCAUGUCUAUUAAAAGUUUAAAAAAUUUACGAAAUCAGCAGCCACUUCAGUUCAUUUCACACUGAUUCAGUCGAUUCCGUUACAGUGUUUCCAAUUCCGAAACCGAUUCUGAUUCCGUUAUUUACGAUCCCUGCUCCCACCCCUUCUCUGUUGCAUGCAGAUGCUUGUUUAGCUACAUAUUAGCAUCCAUGGACAUUCCCACGUGUAUGCAUGCAUGCAUAUAAAUGUAUGCCUCCUUGUAUUUCUUUGAUGGUAUGCAGAUGUACAAAUGCAUGCCUGUGUGUUCAGUAGAAAUCAUUUUUUUUAGUGUUUUCCUGUCCUUAGUUGGCAGAUAUUACUUAUGAGCUGCAUUAUCUUUGUCUUAGGCUACAUUUGAAGCUUUCAUUAGAGUCCGAGAUGAUGAAGCAACAG